rnacentral:rRNA from 1 species
GACGAACGCUGGCGGCGUGCUUAACACGUGCAAGUCGAACGGAAAGGCCCCUUUGGGGGUACUCGAGUGGCGAACGGGUGAGUAACACGUGAGUAACCUGCCCUUGACUUCGGGAUAACUUCAGGAAACUGGGGCUAAUACCGGAUAGGAAUCCUUGCUGCAUGGUGGGGGCUGGAAAGCUUCGGCGGUUUUGGAUGGACUCGCGGCUUAUCAGCUUGUUGGUGGGGUAGUGGCUUACCAAGGCUUUGACGGGUAGCCGGCCUGAGAGGGCGACCGGCCACAUUGGGACUGAGAUACGGCCCAGACUCCUACGGGAGGCAGCAGUGGGGAAUAUUGCACAAUGGGCGGAAGCCUGAUGCAGCAACGCCGCGUGCGGGAUGACGGCCUUCGGGUUGUAAACCGCUUUCAGCAGGGGCGAAGCUUUUGUGACGGUACCUGCAGAAGAAGCACCGGCUAACUACGUG